UCUCGGUUAGUAUAGUGGUUAGUAUCCCCACCUGUUAUGCGGGAGACCGGGGUUCAAUUUCCCGACCGAGAG
rnacentral:tRNA from 1 species